rnacentral:lncRNA from 1 species
GCAUGCGUCUAUGGCCAUCCGAUCAUGCAAAACACUCUUGUAGACCGUCCAGGCAUGAACCAGGGCCUCUUCAUGUGUGCCGCAUGUCGUACGCACGUGAGCCAUGAUAAAUGCCAUCUAGAUCGUGGUGGUCCAUGCAUGAUGCACAGACCACGAUUCCACCCAUGGGCACGUAGUGGACCACGCAUGCACUGCACACCCACGUGCGUCCUAGGCCACACGCAUCCAUGUGCCCAUGCACUAUGGCUUGCAUGC